ACUCAGCAGCACAGCGAAAAUGGAGACCUCAGAGCCAGGGCCUGCCUCCUCAAGCCCCUCCCUGAACCAGAUGGCGGUAGAGUCUUGAGCUGGUGAAGUCACCCACAGUCAGAUUGUCCUGGCUCAGGAUUCCGCUCAGCCGCCCGGUCCCAUACUGAAUGGCAAACUUGGUCCCAUUGGGCCUGAAGGAGCUGGAGGCCUUGGGAUUAAAGCGAUGGUGAAACCCUAAUUCAAGAGAUGAGAUGGGUGUCAGUCAGGGCAUGGGAGACUCAGCACCUAUGAGGACAGCCUAGGGAGCAUGAAGUCAAGUCCCUCGUCUUCUCCCAUCCCGACCCUUUGGCCUUCUUCCUCAGGGAAACUCACAGCAUGCCAAACUGAAGAAAUGACAUCUCGUGGACGGAACCCACAAGUUGGAAGAACCCGUGUCAAAGACAACGGUGAAAUUCUGAGGAGGCGUUCCCAAACCAAUAGUUCCAAAAUACUGGGUCUGGUGGCACAAGAGAACACAGGGUAAACGAAGAGCCGGUUAUUCUGCCGCAAGGGUGAAAAUGGGGGCACCGAGACUCACGUUCAUGAACUUGGAGAGAGGCACAAAGGAGGGGUUGCCACCAGAGGUGGAGGUCCUAGAAAGCUCUGCCAGCUGUUCCCAUCCAUUCAGUGGGUUUAAGAUUCUGUGUCCAAGGUGGAUUCGUUGAAGAGGGACACUAGAGAGAGAAAGAGACAAUUUGAACAGUGACAAACCAAUGCAUUCGGGAGACCCUCGUGUGACAGAUGCCCUCCGUAGGGCCUGAAGGUAAUGAUCCCCGAGUUCCUGUAGGAGCAGUCAUCCGUAAUGACUGCAGCUCCGUAAUGACCAGGAAGUGCUACUGAGGGCGGCUGCACAGCCCUACAGAAGAAAGGAUCCGUGUAUGGGCUCAAAGACCUGCCAGGAUCCACAUACCUUACGGAGGCAGAGGCCAGAUAUGUCUACAGAGCAAGUUCAAGAACCACUAAGGCUACACAGAGAAAACCUGUCUCAAACAACAAGCAAACAAACAAACCAACCAAAAAAGGUAUGUGUAAAAUAUCAAAAAUAAAUACAUAAAAUAUUUAAAUUAUACAUAUACAUUAUAUAUGUAUUUAUGUACAUAUAUGUUAACAAUUACAUUAAAUAUGUUAACAAUUUUUUUGAGGUUUAAAAAAAUUAUUUUGGGCUGGUGAGAUGGCUCAGUGGGUAAGAGCACCCGACUGCUCUUCCAAAGGUCCUGAGUUCAAAUCCCAGCAACCACAUGGUGGUUCACAACCAUCUGUAACGAGAUCUGACUCUCUCUUCUGGAGUGUCUGAAGACAGCUACAGUGUACUUACAUAUAAAUAAAUAAAUCUUUAAAAAAAAAAGGAAGUUACAAAAAAAAA